rnacentral:tRNA from 1 species
GAGAGAGGCCCGUGGCAAUGGAAACUGCUAAUUUUCGCUACCUUGGUUAGACUCCGAGGCUCACUCG